UACGUAGGGGGCAAGCGUUUGUCCGGAAUUAUUGGGCGUAAAGCGCGUGUAGGCGGCUCGAUAAGUCUGCUGUGAAAAGUCCAAGGCUCAACCUUGGAAUGCCGGUGGAUACUGUCGAGCUCGAGUCCGGAAGGGGCGAGUGGAAUUCCUGGUGUAGCGGUGAAAUGCGCAGAUAUCGGGAGGAACACCUAUGGCGAAAGCAGGCUUCUGGACCAAUCACUGACGUGAGCUGCGAAAGCUAGGGGAGCAAACAGG
rnacentral:rRNA from 1 species